UCUCUCUCGCUCGUCUCGGACUAUCAACGGUCUCAAUCAGAGGUCUGAAACCCUCUCUCAAGAAUGAAAGUUAUUGUGAGAUGCCUUGAACUUUCAUAUUCGGGACGGCAUCCAGGAGAUACAUUGAAGAAAACUAUUUGCAAAUUCGUGAUGUUGAAUGAGAGCUGGCAAAACUUUCCUCGUAGGUGAAGCUAACAGUUGGACAGGUUGGGUCAUUGUCAUGACUUGCUUUUAAAUUUUUUUUAAAUUCCUCUUAUUUUCUUCUUAUGGGUACAAUUAUGAUAUUUAUGAUUGUUGCUCUGUUGUAUGGCCUAAGCUCUUGAACGCAUGAGAUAGAAAAAUUGAUUUGUCAACUAAAACCAUUCGAGUUGCAGUCAUAACAAGUAAAAAAGGUUUGUCGCUUUUAAGUUCUAACUAAUUGAUUAACCCUAUGACUUACGUGCUUUAGUCCUUGAAAAUAUGAAAAUGGUUCUUCUUUACCAUCAUAGAACAUGUCUAUAAUAUGUGCUUAGCUCUUCCUCCUUUACGCUCAAGUCGUGAUCGAAUACCUUAUGUAGAUAUAUGUUGAGGGUUCUACUCUUGAAAGCUUUUUUAUAUUGAGCAAUAAGUGAAGGAGCUUGACCAAUCCCAUUGAGGGAAGUUGUGGAAAGAGAAAGGGACUGGAAACAAAUACAAUUAUUAAUGUUGUCAUU